GCUGACAGUCACACCCUAAGAUGUAUAAGAAGAGGUCCCAGAGGUGUAGUUUAUGGGAUGUUUCUGAUAAACUGUAGGUUUACAUUUGAUUGGAAGGCUGUACAGGUGGUUUGGGGGAUGCGCAGCGUUGCCUAACGUCACGCUCGGUGGUGGUAUAAAAUCCCCUGGGUUUGUCCUCCAGUCAUUCAUCUUGAGAAAAGCCGGAGGCAGCAUAGCGAUAUUACGCGUAAUUGUGGCUGGGAAGAAACCGAUUUCACGAUGACUAAACUUGUGAUGGCUUACAUUGGAUUCCUUCUCCUUGCAAUGCAUUUUUCAUCACAGGUCCACGCGCAAAAGGCUAGCACACAGUCCCCUGCCAUGAAUGCUACGACCAAAGCUGGCGGCGCGAGUUCUAACAUGACCAAGAUGCCCGAUGUCGCCAAGAACAACACCAUUCCCAAAGGAGCCAGUGCGUCCUUGCAGUCCAGCUCGGUCGCGCUCAUCAUACCCAUCCUGGUGGGGGGCUCUCUACAGGGGCGCUUCUAGAGGGCUGUUGAUCACUGAACAGACACCGGCAAGACUGUAACAUCAGCGACCUAGAUGGGGUAAACUGUUUUACUAAGAGCACAUUUUUAAAAUAAAAAAUCAAAGGCAUUUGUACGCUCCUAACCGAAGAGAUUCGGUGGAGUUGCGUGGCGGACAUUUCUACUUCUCUGAUGGGUAUUGUUAUUUGCACUCACACCUUCCGGCCGCUUCAAACCAGCAGGCCUACACACCUCGCACACUGGCCCCAUGCCCAUAGGCCGAACGGUACGGUCCUCUCCAUGGAGGCAGUUCAUGAUAAGAUCAGUCCAUGAUGAGGAUGUACGGAACUGCACUUUGAACGGUUUGGUCCCGCUGUUCCAGUGUAGACACCAGGGGCUAGUUUAGUAACUUAAGAAGUUAACAUAUCUAAAGAAAUGUUGGUUUGAGGCUCUUCGAAAAUAAGGUAUAAAUGAAUCUGUGGCACAUGCACGAACAGUGGUAUUUCUGCAACUGCAGUGACUACUUUGUCAGAGGCUUGAUGUACACUUUUUUUUUUUUUUUUUUUUUUUAAGAAAAUCUAAUUAAGUUUGCAUAUGUGAGCUUGAAUUGUCUAAAUCAGUGUGAUAUGCUUAUUUGUUUAAGGCCAGGUUUAAUAAAGCUUUGAAAUGUAGGCUACUUGUGACAAUUUUCUUGUGUAAUAAAAAUACUUAAACAUAAUUUUGACUUCUCCUGUCUGUAAAUUAUAAAGCUAGACCUGCCAAGUAAUUUGCUCUGUUCCACUGUCUCCAGCCCCUUUAUUGAUCACAUAGCUAAGACCAGGGAUUUACUCAGGUAGACUAGGUUUGAUGUGCCACAAUUUAAAUCCUUAUUUUAGAAUGGGGAAUAGGAAUGUUUGCCUUUGGCCAGUUGUAGCAUUUAUGCCAUGUCAACUAGGACAUGAUAAGUCUUACAUCCCUUGUGGCCAAAACAGGUCAGUUUCCUGACAGUUGACUUGUCUGCUUUAAAGCGCGUUUACUUUACCCUAGCUACAUUGACCUGUGACCAGUCAUUUCUAAACUAGCCUACCUUAGACACGCUUACCCUGAGUAUUUUUAAACUGUUAUAGUUUCUUGACACUGGUCUUGCUGGUUGGCUCUCAUCCAAAGGGAUGUUUACCUUCUAAUGGUGAUGUUCAUGCCAUAUAGUUUAGACUUAAGGUCAUACCAAGGAUAAUUUAAUUUCACAACUCCCUUGAAUCAAUUGAAAUUAUUUGACAUGACUGCUAUUAGCCCAUACAGAUUCACAAGUUUGUUCUCAAGUGUCUAAGGGUUAAAUGUCAACAUUCCCAGAUUUAUUUUUAUUUUUGGCACAAUCUCUUUUUCAGAUGGUACUGGGGGACCUUCAGUUGAGGUUGAGUCUCACUUUUCCAGAGGCUUCAUAGUGUGUAGGAUAUUGUUCAUAUGCUACACAAGUUAGAGGCUGUACAGACUUCAGACUGGUCCCAUGGGGGUUGUGGAGAAAUUGACUGCUAUUGUGUUUGUGAGGAUGUGAGCAGACCUUUUUUUUGGGGGGGUGUGUCAUGGUCUGAACACCUGUCACCUUUUACAUAAGGUGAUGCGGUGGAUUUAACUUUUAAAAAUAUUUUCUUUAAACUGACUUAGGGAUUUAAUGCUUAUCGAUCUUAGGGGGUUUGAAACAAUGCUAUAGGUUGUGGUAAUUUGUAAUUUGUUUUAUUCUUUGGUUUACCUGUUGGGCAUGUUAUUUUGGUAUUAAUACGUUUCACAUGUCAGUUUGUGUAAAAAAAAAUAAAAUAAAAGCCGCAUACAAACAUGGUCUCUUUUGCUUGAGUAAGGCAGCUCCAAAAUGUAGGUUUUUCAGCCUAGCUCAGUGCUUUCUGUGGUGGUUGUGCAGCCAGUGGAAAAUAUGAAGUGUUGGUAAUGUUCUCUAGUUGUGCCAUGAUUAGCUCAGUGUUGUCACUGCCAAGUCUAAGGGUAGACCUAGAAAAUUCAAGCCCCUUGGGUGCUGCCAUAGUUACAUUAGAAGUGCCAAUCCAAA
rnacentral:lncRNA from 8 species